rnacentral:rRNA from 1 species
UGGCCUUGACAUACCAAGAAGCUAAUAGAGAUAUAAGUGUGCUAGUUUACUAGAGCUUGGAUACAGGUGCUGCACGGCUGUCGUCAGCUCGUGUCGUGAGAUGUUAGGUUAAGUCCUGCAACGAGCGCAACCCUCGUGUUUAGUUACUAACAGAUUAUGCUGAGGACUCUAGACAUACUGCCUGGGCAACCAGGAGGAAGGUGAGGACGACGUCAAGUCAUCAUGGCCCUUACGGCCAGGGCUACACACGUGCUACAAUGGGGUAUACAAAGAGCCGCAAUACCGCGAGGUGGAGCAAAUCUCAUAAAAUAUCUCCCAGUUCGGAUUGUUCUCUGCAACUCGAGAACAUGAAGUUGGAAUCGCUAGUAAUCGUAGAUCAGCAAUGCUACGGUGAAUACGUUCCCGGGUCU